CCUACGGGAGGCAGCAGUGGGGAAUAUUGCGCAAUGGGCGAAAGCCUGACGCAGCGACGCCGCGUGAGGGAUGAAGGUCUUCCGAUCGUAAACCUCUGUCAGCAGGGAAGAACGGUCACUGUGCUAAUCAGCCGUGAAUUGACGGUACCUGCAAAGGAAGCACCGGCUAACUCCGUGCCAGCAGCCGCGGUAAUACGGAGGGUGCGAGCGUUAAUCGGAAUUACUGGGCGUAAAGCGCUCGUAGGCGGUAUGGCAAGUCAAGGGUGAAAUCCCCGCGCUCAACGUGGGAACUGCCUUUGAAACUGGGAAACUGGAGUGUGUGAGAGGAUAGUGGAAUUCCAGGUGUAGGAGUGAAAUCCGUAGAUAUCGGGAGGAACAUCAGUGGCGAAGGCGACUAGCUGGAACAUAACUGACGCUGAGGAGCGAAGGCGUGGGUAGCGAACGGGAUUAGAUACCCUUGUAGUC
rnacentral:rRNA from 1 species